rnacentral:pre_miRNA from 1 species
UCUUUUUUUCCCUCUUGAUUAAGGCCGCUUCAAUUCUUUUGUUCAACCCUUGCUGAGAACAAAAGAAUUGAAGCGGCUUUAAGUCAAGAAGGAUU